CUUUCAAACCAUUUUCCCCCAAAUUGGAAGGGAAAAGGGGGCGGAACCCUAGCUCUAAUGCAGAAACGGAAACUGCGCCUUCCUCACCUCACGCCGGCAAAUCCUUGUUCGCGUUCGGUCGGUGUCACCGUCCUAUGCACCGGCGAAGUUUCCUCUCUCAAUCUCCCUCCGAUUCCUCCGUUUCUCCACUGCGGUUCGCCUCCGUCUUCUCCGGCGAAUCAACGCCGUAACGGUCGUCGCCAUCCUUGGACCGCGGUCGACGGUCCGUCAUAAGCCGCCGCCGUCCUGACUCCCUCCUGUCGCUCUUUGGUUAUUUCUUUCUCACUCUCGCGUGGAGUGCGCACGGCCAGCGCGAAGCUGGUGGCGUCGUCGUUACCACGCAUCGCCGGCGUCCGGCGGUCCGUCGUCGGCUGAGGAAUGUCGCUCUCGUCGGCGCCCCUCCGUCGCUUCACGAGGUUCGCGCCGCCGUCACCAUACCCCACCGUUUGCCGAGCUUACAUUUCCUCUACUUGAGCUAAGUUUCUCUACUAACUCGAAUGCUUUAGUCUUGUUUUCGUUUCCUUAAGAUUAUAGUUAUGCGAUUUACUAUCAUUGGUCCUUGAGGGUUACUUGAGUAGUGCGGUUCUCUAGCCUUGGUGUUCAUUGGUGUAUUCGUUUAGAGGCCUAAGUGUUUUGGCUUGGGUGACAUGUCUACUUGUUAACAAGCAGGGUGUUGUUUCCUAAUGUGAUUUCAGUGGAGUUUCAGCUGUGUGGUGAGACUCUCACCACUAUCAUGAGGUGUUUUCCUAGUAUGAAGUAUUAUGUGUAAAGAUGUGAGUAUUUUUUGAAUUUGAGGAAGAAGAAGGGUGUGGAGGUUACCUUCUUCCACUACUCUGAUUCCUUCUUCUAGCUUCAGACACCAGCCUCCCCCUCACUUUCGUUCCUGACUUAGCUUGAAACUGAUAUGUGGCGUGAAGAGGCAGGGCUGAGGGUUAUCCCCUAUAUAUCAUGAAUCUAUAACUGAAAGCCUGCAAAGGCUGGUAUGUUUGGGCAGAAAAUGAGUCCUUGGUUGGUUAUAUGUUGACUGUUUUCCCUACGCCAAUGCAGGAGUGUAUUUGUGAGGAUGAAUGCAAAUUUCAAAUCCUCAUUGGUUGUCUUGUUGCAUGGUGUAAAAAGGGGUACGAGCUGGUUAAUUUCAGCCUUUCAGAACCCUGCAGCUGCUGGAUGAGGGUGCCGGCUGGGCUUGCUUCUUUCAGCCCAAGCACUCCCUCAUUUUUUGGAAAGGGAUAGGGCUGAUCCUCUUGGCUGCCACUUUGUCGGUUCGGCCGAACGGGCUGUCAAAAAUUUGGGCCGCAACCCGUGCUAAAGAAGAGGCCCGCAGUUAGUAUUUCUAAAUUGUAAUAGGGUAGUGCUUCUUUGUUCGAAGUUUUCCCUUCUUACAACAGGUAUAGGAUAUCUAAAAAGUUAAGAGUGUAUUUUGGUUCCUUUAUUUCCAUCAUCACAUAUUUGUAAUCUAAGACAUAGUUCGAAAUUUAUACAUUGUAUUUUGUUUACUUAAGAAAUAAACUGACACUUUCAUUUCAA